GCGCCAAGAAUUAGGAGAAAGAACAUCUGGCUUCAAACCAGGUGGUCGGGAGUUCGAAUCUCUCCGGGCGCGCCA
rnacentral:tRNA from 2 species